rnacentral:rRNA from 1 species
AGCAGCCGCGGUAAUUCCAGCUCCAAUAGCGUAUAUUAAAGUUGUUGCAGUUAAAAAGCUCGUAGUUGAAUUUCGGGAUCAAUUUGCUGGUCGUGCCUCUGGUACGUACUGGUAUUAUUGGUUUCUCCCUUCUGACGAACCAUGAUGUCAUUAAUUUGAUGUCGUGGAGAAUCAGGACUGUUACUUUGAAAAAUUAGAGUGUUUAAAGCAGGCAUUAGCUUGAAUACAUUAGCAUGGAAUAAUGAAAUAGGACGUUUGAUCCUAUUUUGUUGGUUUCUAGGAUUGACGUAAUGAUUAAUAGGGAUAGUUGGGGGCAUUAGUAUUCAAUUGUCAGAGGUGAAAUUCUUGGAUUUACUGAAGACUAACUACUGCGAAAGCAUUUGCCAAGGAUGUUUUCAUUAAUCAAGAACGAAAGUUAGGGGAUCGAAGACGAUCAGAUACCGUCGUAGUCUUAACCAUAAACUAUGCCGACUAGGGAUCGGAUGAUGUUAAUUUUUAAUGACUCAUUC